rnacentral:rRNA from 1 species
AGAGUUUGAUCAUGGCUCAGAAUCAACGCUGGCGGCGUGCCUAACACAUGCAAGUCGAACGCGAAAGCCCCGCAAGGGGUAAGUAGAGUGGCGAACGGGUGAGUAACACGUGGGUGACCUACCUUCGAGUGGGGGAUAACGUCCCGAAAGGGACGCUAAUACCGCAUAACAUCCUGCUCUUGAAUGAGUGGAGAUCAAAGCCGGGGAUCGCAAGACCUGGCGUUUGAAGAGGGGCCCGCGUCUGAUUAGCUAGUUGGUGAGGUAACGGCCCACCAAGGCGACGAUCAGUAUCCGGCCUGAGAGGGCGGACGGACACACUGGGACUGAGACACGGCCCAGACUCCUACGGGAGGCAGCAGUGGGGAAUUGUUNNNAAUGGGNNCAAGCCUGACGACGCAACGCCGCGUGGAGGAUGAAGGUCUUCGGAUUGUAAACUCCUGUUGCCCGGGACGAAACGUUUCGACCUAACACGUCGAGACCUGACGGUACCGGGUGAGGAAGCCCCGGCUAACUCUGUGCCAGCAGCCGCGGUAAUACAGAGGGGGCAAGCGUUGUUCGGAAUUACUGGGCGUAAAGGGCGCGUAGGCGGCCUUCUAAGUCGAACGUGAAAUCCCCGGGCUCAACCCGGGAACUGCGUCCGAUACUGGAAGGCUUGAAUCCGGGAGAGGGAUGCGGAAUUCCAGGUGUAGCGGUGAAAUGCGUAGAUAUCUGGAGGAACACCGGUGGCGAAGGCGGCAUCCUGGACCGGCAUUGNNGCUGAGGCGCGAAAGCCAGGGGAGCAAACGGGAUUAGAUACCCUAGUAGUCC